rnacentral:rRNA from 1 species
CCACGGGGGGCAGCAGUGGGGAAUAUUGCGCAAUGGGCGAAAGCCUGACGCAGCGACGCCUCGUGAGGGAUGAAGGUCUUCGGAUCGUAAACCUCUGUCAAGAGGGAAGAAACCCUUGGAUUCGAACAGGGUCCUUGGCUGACGGUACCUCAAAAGGAAGCACCGGCUAACUCCGUGCCAGCAGCCGCGGUAAUACGGAGGGUGCAAGCGUUAAUCGGAAUCACUGGGCGGAAAGCGCUCGUAGGCGGGAUGGUCAGUCAGAUGUGAAAGCCCGCGGCUUAACCGCGGAACUGCAUUUGAUACUGCCAAACUUGAGUGUCGGAGAGGGUGGCGGAAUUCCGGGUGUAGGAGUGAAAUCCGUAGAUAUCCGGAGGAACACCAGUGGCGAAGGCGGCCACCUGGACGACAACUGACGCUGAGGAGCGAAAGCGUGGGGAGCAAACA